UACCUGCAGCUCAAGUGGUGACCGCUAUUAUUGGGCCUAAAACGUCCGUAUCCGGCUGAGUAAAUGCCUGGGUAAAUCGUGUCGCUUAACUAUACGAAUUCCGGGUAGACUGCUAAACUUGAGACCGGGAGAGGCUAGAGGUACUCCUGGGGUAGAGGUGAAAUUCUGUAAUCCUAGGGGGACCACCAGUGGCGAAGGCGUCUAGCCAGAACGGGUCUGACGGUGGGGGACGAAGCCCUGGGGCACAAACCGGAUUAGAUACCCGGGUAGUCCAGGGUGUAAACGCUGCUUGCUUGAUGUUAGCUGGGCUCCGAGCCCGGCUAGUGUCGGAGAGAAGUUGUUAAGCAAGCUGUCUGGGAAGUACGGUCGCAAGACUGAAAACUUAAAGGAAUUGGGCGGGGGAGCACAGCAACGGGUGGAGCGUGCGGUUU
rnacentral:rRNA from 1 species